rnacentral:rRNA from 1 species
CUGCUGCCUCCCGUAGGAGUCUGGUCCGUGUCUCAGUACCAGUGUGGGGGACCUUCCUCUCAGAACCCCUACGCAUCGUCGUCUUGGUGGUCCGUUACACCGCCAACUAACUAAUGCGACGCAUGCCCAUCCGCCACCCGGAAUCAACCUUUGGCACCAACAGGAUGUCCCGUCGAUGCAUUAUGCCGUAUUAGACGGAAUUUCUCCCGAUUAUCCGGCUGUGGCAGGCAGGUUGCAUACGUGUUACUCA